CCUUCUAUUUGUUGACAGUUGAUAUUAAAUUCUUGUUUUUGUUUUUAGGAGAGAACAAAAGAAAUGUUUAAAAUGGUAUGUUUCUCAUACGUCAGAAGCUACAUCAAUCACCUAUUCCCCCCUCCCUUUCCUGUCAGCUAUGGGAAGUUCACACAGGAAAAUCACCAACUUCCACUCAGCCACAAUCCUUCUGUGAGACCUCAUGGAAGAUACUUUGCUUUUUCUCCCGGGUGGCAGUUUCUCCACUAGCUAUGUUAUGUUUUUAGGCCAUGUUUUUGAACUUCCUCUUUGGUGGGUAGCCUGAGAUGAUCAUUGAAGGCAUACACACUUAUUUCCAACACCAGAAGAGAUUACGUCUUGAGUCUAAAAAGUACCCCUGACAUAGGAGGUGCCUCCAUACCUGUAAGCAUUCCCAGAAGCCAACAGGAUUGCGUGGAUCAGAACAUUGAGUAAGGCAACAUGGCUUAAACCCUUUGCUGUUCAUAGUUGGAAAGCAGCUUCCAAGGAAGCAGAUCUCAAUUUCUUCUACAGCUGAAGACACCUGAAGGCUGAAGCAGGACUAAAGAGCCCAGAGACAGCAUGGUGUGUUAGGAGAGAACUGGCCUUGCACUUGGAGGACCCAGCUUCUGGUCCUGCUAUGCGACCCACUUGCUUGGUGACCAACUUAUGUCUCCUCUCAGGACGCUUGUUUUUCCAUGUUUCAAAAGGGGAAAUUGGACUAGAUGGUCUCUAAGGUCUCUUCCAGUGUUGAUAUUUGAUUGUUCUCCCCAGGGGUUUCACAUAGAUCAUAACCAUUCUAGAGUCACACCCUCUGUCCCCAAUCCUGGAUCAGUAUUUGGUUGCUAAGGGAAACAGGCAAGCAAAAAUGUUUGACAAUCCUUAGUGCUAUCACCAGUUGCCAAGUACACAUCUGUCAUGCUGACAGUGUCAGCAGGGUCACUUUUUGUAUCUGGAUGACAGAAUGGUCAUAUUAUUGCUUGAUUUGAAGAAGAGCACCAUUGACUAUCUGCCGGAAAAAAGCUGUGGGUCCUUUAUGACUGCAUGAUGCACUUCCACUGUUUAGGAAACUGACUAUCCGAUCAUGUGAACUGACAGAUACGGGGCUGUGUUAAAUAUUAAGUAUUGUAGAAAUGAAAACUGUUAUUAAAGUAGUAAAAUGUUUAUCUAGAGAGCAGUGCUGAUGAAACACUGUGGUUAGUUCUUGCCCUCUUUGUUAAAAUAGGUAAUUGAUUGUACCAUCCACAUACCCACGUGAAAAUUAUCCAGCAUGUUGUAUUUAUAAGCUCCUCCCUACCUGAGAGAAAAAAUGAUAAUUAUCUAGCCUUUUUGUCCUGGGUCACUUAAUUCAGUUUCAGUCCAAGUUUUUGACCUUCUUUAAUAAGAAAAUGCCAGAUUUUCCAUCCCAUAAUCUGGUUAUCUAAUACCUUGCUCAGUGAUUAAAAUUGAUUAAAAUGAAGAAAGAGUGCUCUUUUAAAAUAAGAAAAUGAUUGAAUUUCUAUGGUUUAGGUUGUAUUUAAGCAAAGAUUGGAUUAAAUUGAUCUGGAUUGAAUGAAGGACACUCUAAACAAUUCUAAACUUAUUGCAACUCUGAAUAUUGCUUUCUGGAAUGCCUCAGCACAAAAUGUCACUGUCACUUUUGUUUCAUAAACACAUAUAUCUUUUAAUGCAUAGAUAAUGCACUUUUUAGAGGCGUUUAAAACAUACACAUUUGCAUAGAUAUUCAUUCACAACUGUUUUCACUAAACCAAAAUAGAAAAGACUUAGCUGACUUUUAAGCACUUGCAUUUUCCAGUUUGAAUACAGAGAAUUGGGCAUUUUUUUCAUAUAUGGAAUAAACAGCAAACACAUUCUCAAUGAGUUUAGACUGAACAUCUAGUUUGAGAAAAUUUGAUUUAUGGACAGGAGUCAAAGUUUACCUGUGAAGAUAAUGAAAUAGCAUGACAGAAAAGAGUGGUGUUGUGCCAAUGGCCAAAAGAGUAGAUCAGAGAUUACCUUCCAAUGAUUUCAAAGUGGGCAAGGGUUUUAAUUACUGAAGGUGGAAGGGGAAUUAAUGUAAUUAUUGUAAUCACUCCUAAGAAAUCUUCUAGUUUCACCACACUGUGGAAUAAUUUUAAGUUUAUAAUUCAUUCUUAAUCAAAUUUGAUGCAUUAUAUUGCCAUCUCCCACAAUGUUAAAAUAAAAAUGUAUUUUAAUGUUUUAAUUAAAUUUACAUUUUUUCUAUGUA
rnacentral:lncRNA from 1 species